GAUGAACGCUGGCGGCGUGCUUAACACAUGCAAGUCGAACGAUGAAGCCCAGCUUGCUGGGUGGGUUAGUGGCGAACGGGUGAGUAACACGUGAGUAACCUGCCCUUAACUCUGGGAUAAGCCUGGGAAACUGGGUCUAAUACCGGAUAGGAGCGUCCACCGCAUGGUGGGUGUUGGAAAGAUUUAUCGGUUUUGGAUGGACUCGCGGCCUAUCAGCUUGUUGGUGAGGUAUUGGCUCACCAAGGCGCCGACGGGUAGCCGGCCUGAGAGGGUGACCGGCCACACUGGGACUGAGACACGGCCCAGACUCCUACGGGAGGCAGCAGUGGGGAAUAUUGCACAAUGGGCGCAAGCCUGAUGCAGCGACGCCGCGUGAGGGAUGACGGCCUUCGGGUUGUAAACCGCUUUCAGUAGGGAAGAAGCGAAAGUGACGGUACCUGCAGAAGAAGCACCGGCUAACUACGUG
rnacentral:rRNA from 1 species